rnacentral:rRNA from 1 species
GCUCAGGAUGAACGCUGGCGGCGUGCCUAAUACAUGCAAGUCGAGCGAACAGAUAAGGAGCUUGCUCCUUUGACGUUAGCGGCGGACGGGUGAGUAACACGUGGGUAACCUACCUAUAAGACUGGGAUAACUUCGGGAAACCGGAGCUAAUACCGGAUAACAUUUGGAACCGCAUGGUUCUAAAGUGAAAGAUGGUUUUGCUAUCACUUAUAGAUGGACCCGCGCCGUAUUAGCUAGUUGGUAAGGUAACGGCUUACCAAGGCGACGAUACGUAGCCGACCUGAGAGGGUGAUCGGCCACACUGGAACUGAGACACGGUCCAGACUCCUACGGGAGGCAGCAGUAGGGAAUCUUCCGCAAUGGGCGAAAGCCUGACGGAGCAACGCCGCGUGAGUGAUGAAGGGUUUCGGCUCGUAAAACUCUGUUAUUAGGGAAGAACAAACGUGUAAGUAACUGUGCACGUCUUGACGGUACCUAAUCAGAAAGCCACGGCUAACUACGUGCCAGCAGCCGCGGUAAUACGUAGGUGGCAAGCGUUAUCCGGAAUUAUUGGGCGUAAAGCGCGCGUAGGCGGUUUCUUAAGUCUGAUGUGAAAGCCCACGGCUCAACCGUGGAGGGUCAUUGGAAACUGGGAAACUUGAGUGCAGAAGAGGAAAGUGGAAUUCCAUGUGUAGCGGUGAAAUGCGCAGAGAUAUGGAGGAACACCAGUGGCGAAGGCGACUUUCUGGUCUGUAACUGACGCUGAUGUGCGAAAGCGUGGGGAUCAAACAGGAUUAGAUACCCUGGUAGUCCACGCCGUAAACGAUGAGUGCUAAGUGUUAGGGGGUUUCCGCCCCUUAGUGCUGCAGCUAACGCAUUAAGC